rnacentral:rRNA from 1 species
GAAGGCUGAAAUUCGCCUUCAUGAAGCUGGAAUUGCUAGUAAUGGCAGGUCAGCAUACUGCCGUGAAUACGUUCCCGGGCCUUGUACACACCGCCCGUCACACCAUGAGAGUUGGAAAUACCCGAAGCCUGUGAGCUAACUUAAAGAGGCAGCAGUCGAAGGUAGAGCCAAUGAUUGGGGUGAAGUCGUAACAAGGUAGC